rnacentral:lncRNA from 1 species
CUGAAGAUAUAGAGUAGUAUUUAUAGGGGAAAAUUAGGGCUUCUUGAGAUUUUGAAAUUCAAAAGCUUGACCCUUGAAGAGUCACAGAUUGGAGUUUGUAACGGACAAAAUUGUAGCAGCAGGGAGGCCACGGAUUUUCCUCUCUGGGCUGAUCAGAGAUUUCACAAACAGAUGAUCUCGUCCAACGUGCUUUUGAUACGAAUUUUCUCCAAGCACAAAAGUGGAAACGAAGAGAUGGAGGCGGCUCUAGAAAAGCAUACCUUUUGCACAAAAAAUGGCACGAAAUCCGAUUUCGCCCAAAGGAGUUUGGAAUUUUGUCCCGAACGAGAGAAAAUGAG